rnacentral:misc_RNA from 1 species
UUAACUAUUUGCUUUUUACUUCAGGCUGCACUGUUGUUCAGGGUUGAUUUUGGCAGAGGCCCUUUCGAGGGGGCCCCCUUCACGCCAAAGGACGAGCGGGAAACAAAGGGUUGGUAUCGGGCGCCAGAGCGCCCUGUGACCCAGUAAUGAUCCUUCCGCAGGUUCACCUACGGAAA